AUUACUAAAAGCAGAUCGCUAGAAUUAAUCAAUAUGAAAAUUGCAGGGUUACUUAUUAUUUGUUACAUUGUACUAACGGAUGCCCAAUGUCCUCCACCGGCACGAAAGUGCCAUGGUUAAAAAGCAAAUCCGCAAUGGGUCUUGCCGAUAACAUAUAAUAAUUCUAUUGUUUGACUGGGUAUGACUAUUUAAUAAAUAUUACAUUUGCUUCAAAA
rnacentral:sRNA from 1 species